UCUUCUUCAGGUGUGUUUGGUGUUGAAGAAAUUACAAUGUCUGUGAGAGAAGAAGAUGUUGUCACUCUACACACUGAUGUUAAGACAAAUCAUCGAGACCGAAUUAGAUGGUAUUAUAAAGACAUUCGCAUCGCUCAGAUCACUGGAGAUCUCAUUAAGACCUGUAAAGACGUUCAGUGUAAAGAGAGAUUCAGAGACAGACUGAAGCUGGACAAUCAGACUGGAUCUCUGACCAUCACAAGCAUGAUAACCUCUGAUGCUGGACUUUAUAAACUGAAGAUUUUAGGCAACCCCAGCAGUGAAAAGAUCUUCAAUGUUACUGUUCAUGGAGGAAAGGAAGGCCAGGCCCCUGAGGAGGAAGUAAGCCUGGGGACCAAGGUGGAGCAAGCAAUGUGGAACACCAUACUGGAGCCAACAGAGCUGGGGGCUAGAGUCAAGCCUGUAACCAGGAUGAAACUGGUAGUUCAGGGAACUUGGGUGAAGCCAGUAGGGCAGGGGCAAUGGCAGAGUAGAUGGAUCAGAAGACCACAAAGGUAAGGCAAUACUGGAGACCCCCAGAGCAGAUAUCCUACAGAUGUAUAUGUAAACCAACAAGUUGGAGCAGAAGGCAACCAAUAUGAAGCUAAUGGUGCAGGAUACCACCAAGGUGGAGUAGAAGGAGCAGGGGAUCACCAAGGCAGAGCAGGUGAAUACAUAGACCACUAAGACGGAGCAGAAAAGGUGGAGGUGAUGGUGCUGCAGACCAUGGUGGGACUGGCAGGGCUGAAGACUACAAUGGUGCUAACAGAUCCAAAGAUCUCAGCAGAGCUGGACACAGAGAUCUGUAGAAGAAGAAGAUCAAAUAAAGACAGUGCCAGUGAUGGAGAGGGAAACAGUGACUUUAUGUACUGGUGUAGAAAAUCAAGAUGAUGUGAAGAUAUGUCGUUUUAAUGAUACUUUCAUCGCUGGAAUCAAUGGAUAUCCAAAUAAGAUCUGUACAGAUGUACAGGGUAGUGAUGAGGGAUUCAGAGCCAGACUGAAACUGGACAAUCAGACUGGAUCACUGAUCAUCACAAACACCAGAUGCACAGAUUCUGGACUUUAUAAACUACAGAUCAACAGCAGCAGCUGCAGUAUUAUGAGGAGCUUCAAUGUUAUUGUCAAUGAUUCACAUUUAGAAACUCCAGCAAUGGAUCUAAUUGUACGUAGGAUAACAAUUUUUGGUGCAGUCAUACUGGUGCUGACCGUGGCUGUUGCGUUUGGAGUGAAACACUGUUCCACUGUCAGAAGAAGAAGUAAUUUAAAGAAGAUAAACAUGAAUUUGCUUUGAGGAACAUUAUUUUAACCUCUAAGGUGAAUCUAAUCUAGUCAUUCAUGACCACAAAUGUAGCUCGCACAGAAUAUUUAAAAUAGUAGUUCCUAUAAAUCACAGAGGUUUUUAUUUUUUUUAAGACCAUUACUAAUCUUACUUUUGAUAAAAAAAAAAAAA